rnacentral:rRNA from 1 species
GUAGUCCACGCUGUAAACGAUGGAUGCUAGCCGUUGGGAGGAUACCUCUCAGUGGCGCAGCUAACGCGUUAAGCAUCCCGCCUGGGGAGUACGGUCGCAAGAUUAAAACUCAAAGAAAUUGACGGGGACCCGCACAAGCGGUGGAACAUGUGGUUUAAUUCGAGGCAACGCGAAGAACCUUACCAGGACUCGACAUGCCCUCUAUGGACUUCCGAAAAGAAGUCCUUCACUUCGGGUGGGAGGAGCACAGGUGCUGCAUGGCUGUCGUCAGCUCGUGUCGUGAGAUGUUGGGUUAAGUCCCGCAACGAGCGCAACCCUCGUCCUCUGUUGCUACCAGGUAAUGCUGAGCACUCUGAGGAAACUGCCGGUGAUAAGCCGGA